rnacentral:rRNA from 1 species
AGCGAACGCUGGCGGCAGGCUUAACACAUGCAAGUCGAACGCCCCGCAAGGGGAGUGGCAGACGGGUGAGUAACACGUGGGAACGUACCCUUUGGUUCGGAAUAACUUGGGGAAACUCAAGCUAAUACCGGAUAAGCCCUUAUGGGGAAAGGUUUACUGCCGAAGGAUCGGCCCGCGUCUGAUUAGCUAGUUGGUGAGGUAAUGGCUCACCAAGGCGACGAUCAGUAGCUGGUCUGAGAGGAUGAUCAGCCACACUGGGACUGAGACACGGCCCAGACUCCUACGGGAGGCAGCAGUGGGGAAGAUUGGACGAUGGGGGCAACCCUGAUCCAGCCAUGCCGCGUGAGUGAUGAAGGCCUUAGGGUUGUAAAGCUCUUUUACCCGGGACGAUAAUGACUGUACCGGGAGAAUAAGCCCCGGCUAACUUCGUGCCAGCCGCCGCGGUAA